AGAGUUUGAUUAUGGCUCAGGAUGAACGCUAGCGAUAGGCCUAACACAUGCAAGUCGAGGGGCAGCACAUGAAGUAGCAAUACGGAUGGUGGCGACCGGCGCACGGGUGAGUAACGCGUAUGCAACCUGCCUACAACAGGGGAAUAACCCGUUGAAAGACGGACUAAUACCCCAUAACACAGGGAUCCCGCAUGGAAAUAUUUGUUAAAGAUUUAUCGGUUGUAGAUGGGCAUGCGUUCCAUUAGCUGGUUGGUGAGGUAACGGCUCACCAAGGCAACGAUGGAUAGGGGAACUGAGAGGUUUAUCCCCCACACUGGUACUGAGACACGGACCAGACUCCUACGGGAGGCAGCAGUGAGGAAUAUUGGUCAAUGGACGCAAGUCUGAAUCAGCCACGUCGCGUGAAGGAAGACGGCCCUACGGGUUGUAACUUCUUUUGUAAGGGAAUAAAGUGUAGUACGUGUACUAUUUUGCAUGUACCUUACGAAUAAGGAUCGGCUAACUCCGUGCCAGCAGCCGCGGUAAUACGGAGGAUCCGAGCGUUAUCCGGAUUUAUUGGGUUUAAAGGGUGCGCAGGCGGGAGAUUAAGUCGGCGGUGAAAUUUUGCAGCUCAACUGUAAAAGUGCCUUCGAAACUGGUUUCCUUGAGUGUGGAUGAAGUAGGCGGAAUUUGUGGUGUAGCGGUGAAAUGCAUAGAUAUCACGAGGAACUCCGAUUGCGCAGGCAGCUUACUAAACCAUAACUGACGCUCAGGCACGAAGGCGUGGGGAUCAAACAGGAUUAGAUACCCUGGUAGUC
rnacentral:rRNA from 1 species